GGAGAGAGCUUUAAUGGAGGAUUUCAAUUCUGAGAUUCCAGGUUCUUCAUGCUCCAUUCCUUCUGAACCUCCUGAUAUAAGGAACUGGUUUUCAUCUUACAAGUAUAAUUCUUUUGUCUUGGAUACAUGCUAGAAUUUCGGAGGAAUGUCUUCAGAGGAAAGGGAAAGCGAAAAAUAUGAUUUGGCAAUUGGAGAAGUUAACAGAGAAAAAGAAGAAAAAGUUAAUGGGUUUGGAGAAAUUGGAAAUGCUGAUGAACGUGACAACUCUAAC